GUGGUGUGGUGAUGGGGCCAUGGGGCUGCCAUGCUGGGCUCUCCCCAAGGUGCCCGCGGAGCCCUCUGCUGUGGCUCCUCCAGCCCUGUGCAAGCAGAUGUCCAUGGGAGGAUUCCUGAAACUGUAAUUGCACACAAAUGCACAAAUAUUUGGCUGUAAUACUACCGCUAAAGCUGAAAGGAAAAGAAAAGAGGUCUUGAAGGAAAAGCUGCUGUGGAAGAGGAAGGAAAGCAAGCCCUUGCAAGCAAGAUGCUAGGAUCCUUGCUGGAGUUUGUAGGUAUAUGGGCUACUCCUCUCCUACCUCUUAGCACUCAGCAGGUGAAGUGGGUAUAUGCAGUCCUCAGAC